rnacentral:lncRNA from 1 species
CUCCCUCUUGCCUAGGCCAAGGGGAUUCAUGUGUCUUAUCCACACACACACACACACACACACACACACACACACACACACACACACACACACACACACACACACACACACACACACACACACACACACACACACACGCACUAUCUCACAUUUGGAUUAUUCAUAUAGUGUAGUGGCACUUGAUCCAAAUCUGAUUUGCCUUUGUUCUCCUGCUCCUCUCCCCCUGCUCCCUCUCCUGCUCCUCCCCACCCACUCCUCCCCUACCGCUCCUCUCCACCUGCACCUCUCCUCCUGCUCCCACCUCCUACUCCCCCUCCUGCUCCUCUCCUCCUGCUCCUCCCCUCUUUUUCCUCUUCUUUCCCACUCCUCUCCUCCUGGUCCUCUCUCCCUGCUCCUCUCCUCUCCUGCUCCUCUCCCUAUCCCCUGCUUCUCUCCUCCUGCUCCUAUCCUCUCCCACUACCCUCCUCCUGCUUCUCUCCUCCUGCUCCUAUCCUCUCCCACACCCCUCCUCCUGCUUCUCUCCUCCUGCUCCUAUCCUCUCCCACUCCCCUCCUCCUGCUUCUCUCCUCCUGCUCCUAUACUCUCCCACUCCCCUCCUCCUGCUUCUCUCCUCCUGCUCCUAUCCUCUCCCACACCCCUCCUCCUGCUUCUCUCCUCCUGUUCCUAUCCUCUCCCACACCCCUCCUCCUGCUUCUCUCCUCCUGCUCCUAUCCUCUCCCACACCCCUCCUCCUGCUUCUCUCCUCCUGCUCCUAUCCUCUCCCACUCCCCUCCUCCUGCUUCUCUCCUCCUGCUCCUAUCCUCUCCCACUCCUCUCCUCCUGCUCCUAUCCUCUCCCACUCCCCUCCUCCUGCUUCUCUCCUCCUGCUCCUAUCCUCUCCCACACCCCUCCUCCUGCUUCUCUCCUCCUGCUCCCACCUCCUACUCCCCCUCCUGCUCCUCUCCUCCUGCUCCUCCCCUCUUUUUCCUCUCCUUUCCCACUCCUCUCCUCCUGGUCCUCUCUCCCUGCUCCUCUCCUCUCCUGCUCCUCUCCCUAUCCCCUGCUUCUCUCCUCCUGCUCCUAUCCUCUCCCACUCCUCUCCUCCUGCUCCUCUCCUCCUGCUCCUAUCCUCUCCCACUCCUCUCCUCCUGCUCCUCUCCUCCUGCUCCUAUCCUCUCCCACUCCUCUCCUCCUGCUCCUCUCCUCCUGCUCCUAUCCUCUCCCACUCCUCUCCUCUUGCUCCUCUCCUCCUCUCCCGCUUUUCUCCUCCUGCUCCUCUCCCCAUCCUCUCCUUCCAAUCAUCUACUCUUGCUCCUCUCCUCCUGCUCCUCUCCUCUCCUGCUCCUCUCCCCAUCCUCUCCUCCCAAUCCUCUCGUCUUGCUCCUCUCCUCAUCCCGCUCCUCUCCUCAUCCCGCUC